ACGGGUGAGUAACACGUGGUCAACCUACCUCUGUGUGGGGGAUAACUAGCCGAAAGGUUAGCUAAUACCGCAUACGAUCGUUUUGAGGCAUCUCGGAACGAUGAAAGGAGCAAUCCGCACGGAGAGGGGACUGCGUCCCAUUAGUUAGUUGGUGGGGUAAUGGCCUACCAAGACUCCGAUGGGUAGCUGGCUUGAGAGAGCGACCAGCCACACUGGAACUGAGACACGGUCCAGACUCCUACGGGAGGCAGCAGUGAGGAAUUUUCCGCAAUGGGCGAAAGCCUGACGGAGCGACGCCGCGUGUGGGAUGAAGGCCUUCGGGUCGUAAACCACUGUCGAAGGGGACGAUAAUGACGGUACCCUUGGAGGAAGCCCCGGCUAACUACGUGCCAACAGCCGCGG
rnacentral:rRNA from 1 species